rnacentral:lncRNA from 1 species
UAUAUAUAGACACACACACACACGGGGACAGAAGACAGAAGGAGGCGGAUGGUGGGAAUUAAUUGUGGCUGCAAGAGCUGAUUUUCAUAGACACAAUUCCCACAUAGAGUAGCAGCUUGGAGGGCAAGAAUUGGAGUCCUUUUUCGGUAGUCAAACAUAGCCAGCUGCUGGGAGGAAUUUGGGAGCUGCAAUUCAUAUAUUUAUAUACACCAACAGAAAAAUGGCACAUGAAAAGGGGCUGACACUGGGCUGAAUUGCAUCAUAUUUUCACACACAGAAAACAUAUUGGGAGGUGGAAUUGGAACACAAAAGUCGGCGGCUGAAAACCAACUUUGAGGAAUCAUUCACGUUUGGUCGAUUUUUGGUGAUAUUUUUCCACUUUUCUUUGUUUAUUUUUCACAUUAUGCUCGACUAAAUUAUUUUGUGUUAGGAUUUGCGAUGAACCUUAUAUUAUGAACCUUUAAUAUUGAAUUUUUAUUUAUUUUGACGUUAAAACACGUUUUUAAUUAUUGAAUGAUUGGUAUGAAUUUUAUUUUCUCUACAAUUAUAGGCGCAAUAGUUGUAUGAGAUUUGUGGCUUGUUUUACCGUUGAGAGAUGGAAAAUGAGUUAGACAUUAUGUUAAUUGUCGUAAAGUUCGAUAGGGGAUAGAAAUAUACUGCUAUACUUUACGUGAUCAUUAAGUAUUCAUAAAUUUUUAAUGCAUUUUUAUGUGUUCGCAUCCAUCAUAAAAAUAUAGUCGGAUCGCAUGUGAAAAUAGGCUUAAUUCUACUCGAG